GGGAUAACAUUCUGAAAAGAAUGCUAAUACCGCAUGACAUAUCGGAACCACAUGGUUUUGAUAUCAAAGAUUUUAUCGCUUGAAGAUGGACUCGCGUCCGAUUAGUUAGUUGGUGAGGUAACGGCUCACCAAGACCGCGAUCGGUAGCCGGACUGAGAGGUUGAACGGCCACAUUGGGACUGAGACACGGCCCAGACUCCUACGGGAGGCAGCAGUGGGGGAUAUUGCGCAAUGGGGGCAACCCUGACGCAGCAACGCCGCGUGAAGGAUGAGGGUUUUCGGAUUGUAAACUUCUUUUAUUAAGGACGAAAAAUGACGGUACUUAAUGAAUAAGCUCCGGCUAACUACGUGCCAGCAGCCGCGGUAAUACGUAGGGAGCAAGCGUUGUCCGGAUUUACUGGGUGUAAAGGGUGCGUAGGCGGCUUUGCAAGUCAGAUGUGAAAUCUAUGGGCUCAACCCAUAAACUGCAUUUGAAACUGUAGAGCUUGAGUGAAGUAGAGGCAGGCGGAAUUCCCCGUGUAGCGGUGAAAUGCGUAGAGAUGGGGAGGAACACCAGUGGCGAAGGCGGCCUGCUGGGCUUUAACUGACGCUGAGGCACGAAAGCGUGGGUAGCAAACAGGAUUAGAUACCCUGGUAGUCCACGCUGUAAACGAUGAUUACUAGGUGUGGGGGGUCUGACCCCUUCCGUGCCGGAG
rnacentral:rRNA from 1 species